rnacentral:tRNA from 1 species
GGGCGGCUGGCGCAAUGGUAGCGCGUUGCUCUCCUACUAAACAGGGAGCAUCAAGCAAAGGUUGCAAGUUCGAGUCUUGCGUCGCUCG